UCGUCUCGUAUUACUCGUCGAGACGUUCUCGCGGGAAGUACUGUUCGACAGUGCGUCGAUCGAACGCAAGCCCUUUUUACAAGUGAGUAAUUAAUCGGUGCGAUAUUAUUUACCACGAUUGUGAAAAGCAUAUCACGGUUUGUCGAAGCAAAUAUUUCUUUAGAUAUCGAAAUACAUGCAAUAUUACGUGCUUCAACUUCCAACAGUUUUUUCGCCGGUUAAAAUGUUUUAUAAUUGCGAACGAAGAAGCAUAUACGACAUAUAUCGAAUGACAUUUGUCAAUAAUACGUGUGUCUCGGGAAAUUUAAUGGAAUAUUGAAUGCAAUAUUGAACGUCAUAUAUAUUUUCGAACUGUUCUCUCUCGCUCUCGUCUGAAACUAGUGAUUGAUUUGACUCGCGUAGUACAACGUGAAGUUAUCCCGCCAUCCGCCAUGAUAUAUACUGUACACGAACGGAUCGAGUCGCGUCGUUGCGUGUGUAAUCAGUGAAUCGUAAUUAAAAUCGUAUUGCAAUGAUUCGCAAUCGUCGUGCAAAGUCACUUUUACGUUAAUCUAAUUCGAGUUAUCGCGAACGCCGACCAAGUUCUCGUGCCAUUUUCCAACCGUGCAGUCGAGUGCGUGUUCCUUUGUCGUUAACGACAAAGUUAACUUCGGGAGUGCCGUGUAAAGUGUCGCGCGAUCGUCGUAUUUGGGUAAUUAGUGCGCGCGUAAUCGUAAUUAUCCGUGUUUUCGCGAGUGAGUUUCCUCAAAUUCCAAGGAGCAGAACGAAGAGAGGAAAAGGAGGCAUCUCUCUCUCUCUCUCUCUUUUGGAGGAGCAACUGCGUCAUGGGAGCAAAUGACGACACAGAAGAGGAAGGAAGAAGAGAUGACCUUGGAGGCGAGGGGGCAUCGGGCAUCGGCGGAGCAACGUGGGAUUAAUGUAAUGUACUACAUCUCCGCUGUUAUAUUCAUCACCAG